rnacentral:rRNA from 1 species
GAUGAACGCUGGCGGCGUGCCUAAUACAUGCAAGUCGAGCGAACAGACGAGGAGCUUGCUCCUCUGACGUUAGCGGCGGACGGGUGAGUAACACGUGGAUAACCUACCUAUAAGACUGGGAUAACUUCGGGAAACCGGAGCUAAUACCGGAUAAUAUAUUGAACCGCAUGGUUCAAUAGUGAAAGACGGUUUUGCUGUCACUUAUAGAUGGAUCCGCGCCGCAUUAGCUAGUUGGUAAGGUAACGGCUUACCAAGGCAACGAUGCAUAGCCGACCUGAGAGGGUGAUCGGCCACACUGGAACUGAGACACGGUCCAGACUCCUACGGGAGGCAGCAGUAGGGAAUCUUCCGCAAAGGGCGAAAGCUUGACGGAGCAACGCCGCGUGAGUGAUGAAGGUCUUCGGAUCGUAAAACUCUGUUAUUAGGGAAGAACAAAUGUGUAAGUAACUAUGCACGUCUUGACGGUACCUAAUCAGAAAGCCACGGCUAACUACGUG